rnacentral:rRNA from 1 species
UACGGAGGGUGCAAGCGUUAAUCGGAAUAACUGGGCGUAAAGGGCACGUAGGCGGAUAGGCAAGUGAGAUGUGAAAUCCCCGAGCUCAACUUGGGAAUUGCAUUUCAAACUGGUUAUCUAGAGUUUUGUAGAGAGGGGUAGAAUUCCACGUGUAGCGGUGAAAUGCGUAGAGAUGUGGAGGAAUACCGAAGGCGAAGGCAGCCCCUUGGACAAAGACUGACGCUGAGGUGCGAAAGCGUGGGGAGCAAACAGG